rnacentral:rRNA from 1 species
UGGAGGCAGCAGUAAGGAAUUUUGGACGAUGGGCGCAAGCCUGAUCCAGCCAUGCCGCGUGCAGGAUGAAGGCCUUCGGGUUGUAAACUGCUUUUGUACGGAACGAAAAGACUCUGGUUAAUACCUGGGGUUCAUGACGGUACCGUAAGAAUAAGCACCGGCUAACUACGUGCCAGCAGCCGCGGUAAUACGUAGGGUGCGAGCGUUAAUCGGAAUUACUGGGCGUAAAGCGUGCGCAGGCGGUGAUGUAAGACAGAUGUGAAAUCCCCGGGCUCAACCUGGGAACUGCAUUUGUGACUGCAUCGCUGGAGUACGGCAGAGGGGGAUGGAAUUCCGCGUGUAGCAGUGAAAUGCGUAGAUAUGCGGAGGAACACCGAUGGCGAAGGCAAUCCCCUGGGCCUGUACUGACGCUCAUGCACGAAAGCGUGGGGAGCAAACAGGAUUAGAUACCCUGGUAGC